rnacentral:rRNA from 1 species
CACCAGCCCCUCGAGUGGUGGGGAUGAUUAUUUGGCCUAAAGCGUCCGUAGCCGGCCGGGUAAGUUUCCCGUUAAAUCCAGCGUCUCAAGCGUUGGACUGCGGGAAAUACUGCCUGGCUAGAGAGUGGGAGAGGUCAGCGGUAUUCUGGGGGUAGGGCGAAAUCCUUUGAUCCCCGGAGGACCGCCAGUGGCGAAGGCUGCUGACUAGAACACGUCUGACGGUCAGGGACGAAAGCUGGGGUAGCGAACCGGAUUAGAUACCCGGGUAGUCCCAGCCGUAAACGAUGCAUGCUAGGUGUUGGGUUGGCCACGAGCCACCCUAGUGCCGCAGGGAAGCCGUUAAGCAUGCCGCCUGGGAAGUACGAUCGCAAGAUUGAAACUUAAAGGAAUUGGCGGGGAGCACCACCAGGCGUGAAGCCUGCGGUUU